rnacentral:rRNA from 1 species
CUGAUGCAGCGACGCCGCGUGAGGGAUGACGGCCUUCGGGUUGUAAACCUCUUUCAGUAGGGGAGAAGCCCUUCGGGGUGACGGUACCUGCAGAAGAAGCGCCGGCUAACUACGUGCCAGCAGCCGCGGUAAUACGUAGGGCGCAAGCGUUGUCCGGAAUUAUUGGGCGUAAAGAGCUCGUAGGCGGUUUGUCGCGUCUGCUGUGAAAACGUGGGGCUUAACCCUACGCCUGCAGUGGGUACGGGCAGACUAGAGUGCGGUAGGGGAGACUGGAAUUCCUGGUGUAGCGGUGGAAUGCGCAGAUAUCAGGAGGAACACCGAUGGCGAAGGCAGGUCUCUGGGCCGUUACUGACGCUGA